rnacentral:rRNA from 1 species
CUCGGUGACGAUAGCGGAGAGGUCACACCCGUUCCCAUCCCGAACACGGAAGUUAAGCUCUCC